rnacentral:rRNA from 1 species
AUGGUUUCUUGGAGCGAGCCGUCCUCGAGCUCUUCUUCGGACGGCGAGGAAGUCACUAGCCAGCUUCCUAGGACAAUCUCUUGCUAUGAAUGGAGUGGCAUUGCUCACGAUCUGUCGUCUCGUUGUCUGCAUCAACAACCUUGCAUCAGGCUUGUUGCAUUUGAAUCUGUGGACACAGGCAGACGUUUUCUUGCGUGUGCUGAGGAGAAGGUAGAACUAAAGUGCAACUAUCUGGAGCGGAUAGACCAAGAGUGGCCAGUGGCUAUGCAGUUCUCCCUCACUGAAUUGUGGAGCAUGUAUGACAAAGAUAUGAAGGAGAGGCACACAGAAAAUGUUGAGCUUGCUGAAAGAAAUUACAAACUAGUUGGAGAAAAGAGGAAGAUGGAGGAAGAUCUUAGGUUUUUCAAACUGGACUUUGCUAAAAUGGUUGCUGACAAGGAGGAUGCUAUCACAGAGUUGGGCAAUGUUAGGUUGGCUCUAAGUGAUCUCAAAGAGGAGAUGGAGAAGAAGAAGCUGGCAGACCAUGGUUGUACCAAUCUUCAUCAGGUACUUAGGGCAAAGGUAGAGAAAGAGAGGGACCAGCUAGUUGUAGAGAGAGACCAAGUUGUGAGAGAGAGGGACCAACUUAAACAAGAGAAGAAAAAACUGGAGUACAUCAUUGCAGAUCUGCUCAAACAAAAACAUGGGUACAAGGACAAGAUCAAGAAGUUGAAGGAGAUAUGUGAUGAUUUUUAA